rnacentral:rRNA from 1 species
ACUCAAAGGAAUUGACGGGGACCCGCACAAGCAGUGGAGCGUGUGGUUUAAUUCGACACAAAACGAAAAACCUCACCAGGGUUUGACAUGUAUCUGCUAAUCCUAAGAAACUAGGACUCCUUCGAGGGUGAUACACAGAUGCUGCAUGGCUGUCGUAAGUUCGUGGCGUGAGCUGUCCCCUUAAGUGGGCAAACGAACGAAACCCUCACCUUAUGUUAAAUAAUCCAUGAGGAACUGCUUCAAUUUAUUGAAGAGGAAGGCGAGGAUGACGUCAAGUCAGCACGGUUCUUACACCCUGGGCUACACACACACUACAAUGGCGAAUAACAACGAGCUGCAAACUGGUAACAGUAAGCUAAUCUCUAAAAUUUCGCCUCAGUUCAGAUCGAGGGCUGCAAUUCGCCCUCGUGAAGCCGGAAUUGCUAGUAAUCGCGGAUCAGCACGCCGCGGUGAAUACGUUCUCGGGUCUUGUACACACCGCCCGU